rnacentral:rRNA from 1 species
GGAUCCGGACGGGGCUAAUACCGGAUGCUUGAUUGAACCGCAUGGUUCAAUCAUAAAAGGUGGCUUUUAGCUACCACUUGCAGAUGGACCCGCGGCGCAUUAGCUAGUUGGUGAGGUAACGGCUCACCAAGGCGACGAUGCGUAGCCGACCUGAGAGGGUGAUCGGCCACACUGGGACUGAGACACGGCCCAGACUCCUACGGGAGGCAGCAGUAGGGAAUCUUCCGCAAUGGACGAAAGUCUGACGGAGCAACGCCGCGUGAGUGAUGAAGGUUUUCGGAUCGUAAAACUCUGUUGUUAGGGAAGAACAAGUACCGUUCGAAUAGGGCGGUACCUUGACGGUACCUAACCAGAAAGCCACGGCUAACUACGUGCCAGCA